rnacentral:misc_RNA from 1 species
AAUCAUUAGAUUUCUUGAUGGUGUAAUUUUCAUGGAUUUUGUGGAUUUUUCUCAAUCUGGAAUUUAAAUCCCUUACAAAUUAUGAAACACUGUCUUCAUAUAUGUAAGCAUUUUAGAAUCAAAAUCCCAUUAUACAAUUGGCUGCCUGAUAGUUCAUGCAUUUCCAUGAUUUUGAAAAUUUAGCAGAUAUUGUACAAGUAACGUUUGAUUUGUUAUUGUAGCAUAUUCACAGAAGCGAGUCAGACAAGGAGAAGAUAGACGCUCUACUGAAGGAGAAAUCUCAGUGAAUUGAGAGAGAGAGAGAGAGAGAGAGAGAGAGAGAGAGAGAGAGAGAGAGAGAGAGAGAGAUUCACUGGGAACCCAGAAAAGUAUAUAUCCCAUUUCAAUUUAAAAACAACCAAAUUAAUCAACCAUUUUAAUUUCUUGAUCUCUUUAUGUGGACCUAAUUUAGACAUUAUUUUGGAUUAUGUCUCACAGUGAAUUCUCUCAGAGAUUAUAUUAAUAUUUUUAAAAAAUGUUUAUUCAGCUUGACUUGUAUGAUGGGUAUUUCCUGAUUUUAUGAAUUAUUCUUGAUAAUUUAAUGCAUAUCAAAGAACAAAGUACAAGUCAUGUAUUUCUUUUGAGCUGGUCUCUGGCUGUAUAUUUCUAAAUCUAAAUUUAUUGUCUAAGGACAGGAAGUGCUCAAUCACAUUGCUUUGUUGAAUUACAAUGUGACAUUUCUAAUACACAGCUUCCUUUUUAUACAGAAUGUCUUGUCACAUAAUAUAUAUAUACUUCUUUUGGAUACACAUGUAUGUUGUUUAUAGUAUAUGAUGUAAUGGUUGGUGAAGCAUAUACAUACCUGUUUAUUUAUAUCUACUGUAUACAAGGCUAUUUUUGCCUCUUGGUUAUUUUUUUUGGCCCAUCUACAUUUACAAACCUUAUCUGGAGUUCACCCGGACACAUUAAGAAAUAUAAACUCCUUCUAAUUAAACAGUGAUUUGAAAUUUGUUUUAAAUUUGCCCUGUCUUAAAUUCACCCACUGAUAGUGAGAGGGAAAUGAUAAAAAAAUAAAAUAGAGUUUUCAGACAUUUCAGACCCAGUAUACAGAAUGAUCUAGUGGUCCAGGAUGAGAGAAGUGCAAUUUAUGUGUUGAUACGAUGUCAUGUUUACGCAUCAGUGAUAUGUCUUGUAUGUCCAGUCCUUUCAUGUUGUGUCCAUUGUACCAGUUUGAUUCUGUAAUCAAUGUGCAAAGUUUGUGAAGAAUUUACAAUCUUAUCAAGUAGAAAAUGUUUUUGAUUGUUUUAGGAAAUCUUCAUGGAACAAAAUAUUAUAUAAAAAAUUCCUGGAUAAAUCGAGGUAAAGGUUAAUUUGAAAAUAUUCAAUUUGUAAAUUGUAUCAUAUGUUAUAUAUGUAAAGCUUUAGAGAUAGUUGUUUUAUAUUUGUUUCAAUAGAUACUAGUCUACUAACUAGAUAAGUGUGUCUAGAGGGUUUAGGACCCCAAAAUCCAAUCUUGCAAUAUUGUGAAUAAUCUUUGGGAUGUUUGGGCAUGUAUUUAAUGUAAGUAGCAUGUGUUUUGAAUUAUCUUUACCCAAAUUUUUAUAGAAUAUAUUAUCUGUUUAUUUAUAAAAAAACAAUUAAACUUGAAAGCUU